CACCCCUGAAUGCAGAGCAGCUCUCUAAAGCAAGGCAGGACGAGCCUCGCCUUUCUUUGUCUUGGUUGGAAAAUAUCAUUUUUUUCCUUCUCCUAUUUUCCUCUUUUCCUCAUUCGUUUCUCUUCUAAAGAAAACAAGCUCUCACUGUGCCUCUAGUGAAGCUGAGGAUGUUUGCGUGAGGGAGGCACUGACGGGGAGAGGAGAGCAGAGCAGCAGAUGGGCGGAAUGGAAUGGCGGGGCGAGAGCGGCUCAGCCUGCCGUGGUGGGACGUGCGGCAGCAUGGCUGACAGCUCCAGGCAGCGAGCACCAUGGCGUCCUCCUCUGCUUCAAAUGGAGGAGGAAAUCCUGCACAAAACUCCUUUCAUCCGUGACCUGAGCUGCUGG
ensembl:lncRNA